UCGUCAUCAAAAUGUGAAUAUAAUCCCCAAAUUCGUCAUCGGAAAAACUCCAUCACUGGAAAAAAUCGUCAACGGAUCUUCUCUCGAUCUCAUCUCUUCUUCUCAAAUCUCAAUCGUUAUCUCUCGUAAUCACCGGAAUUUCAGUCCCCGGUGAAAUUCGCGGCUCCAUUAACGAAUAUACAGGUAUAUUACCUACCAUGCAACUUGAGAGAAUUAGAUUUCUGGUUCUGAAGUAAAUUGUAGAUGAAAUGGAGGAUAGUUGCCCUAGGAAAAGGAUGGUUUUUUGUCAAUGCCAUGACAAGAUUUACAUUAUGAAGUGUUGCCUUGUGAACUUUUAAAGUCGUUCGGUUGGAAAUGUACUCUGGUAGUUUUACAGUUCUCUAGAGUGAUGACUAUCAUAUUAAAACAUCCUUAUACACGUGAUGACUAUUUUUGUAGACAAAAAAGAAUGGUGUUCGACCAUCACGGGGGAAAGUGUAUUAUCUAACCCGUACAUGUGUAAAUGGAGAUAUCGUGAAUGAGGGUUGUGGUAAGUAUCUUAAAAUUUUGAACUGUUAAAGUUGCAAUAUACUAUGAUUUUUUAUUUUUUAUUUUAGUAUAUCUUCUUAACUACGAGUAGUAGACAAUGUCUAGGGUAAAUUGAAAAGUCUAGGGAAUGGGUCUACGGUCUACUAGUUCUACUGAAGGAGGGGAUCUUAAUUGGAAAAAUGAUGACUUGGCAAAGGUCAAAGGACCAGAGAAAGGAAGUCGUGUUCGAUGCUUGGGAAAAGUUGUAAUAGCAAAAGAUAAAGGAUCUUGUUUGUCACAAGAUCCUCAAGUACCAGUAUUGAAGGCUCGUAUUAAUGAGCUUGAAGACAAAAUGAAAGAAAUGGAUGAAUCGAAAGAAAGACAAGAUGCUGAAAUGAAAGAAUUAAAAGAUAGACAGGAAGUUAUGAUGCAGUUUAUGGCUCUUAUUAGAGACCAAUUACCUAAUUCAAAUCUUGCUAACAUUUUUGAAGGUCUAAACACAUAGGUAUAUAAUAUAUCAGUUCUGAAAGUAGUAUCAUAUUUGAAUGCAUUUGAUACUACUUUUUAACUCCAAAUAAUUUCCGGUUGCUAAUGAUUCAUCUAGCGUGUAUAAUCAUUCGUUUACAGAAAACCCAACAUCUUCUCGUGCAAGUCAUAACAGGUGUAAAUGGCAAUUCUGAAUUAAAAAUCAAGUUUCGAAAGCCAAAAGUAGAAGAUGAGCAGAAUUGAAUACUUCAAGACUUCACCAUCAAGCAUGUAUGUAGUUAUCGAGUUAUCUUGAAUUAGUCAUCCUGGAGCCUAUUUGAGUUAUAUUGUGUUUCUUAUUGAAGUUACUACUUUGGAUUGAUAUUGUAUUGUUUUCCCUUUGAAUUAAAGUACAGUUAAAAUUUUUAUUAUUUGUAUUUUAUGGUA